GGGUAACGGGUUAAAACUUAAACAGGGGAAGUUUAGAUUGGAUAUAAGGAGGAAAUUCUUUCCUGUUAGGGUGGUGAGGCACUGGAAUGGGUUGCCCGGGGAAGUUGUGAAUGCUCCAUCCCUGGCAGUGCUCAAGGCCAGGUUGGACAGAGCCUUGGGUGAGAUGGUUUAGUGUGAGGGGGGUUGGAACUAGAUGAUCUUAAGGUCCUUUCCAACCCUAACUAUUCUAUGAUUCUAUUCUAUGAUUCUAUGAUUUUAUUAAACAUAAAUU